rnacentral:misc_RNA from 1 species
AAGUCGUAACAAGGUUUCCGUAGGUGAACCUGCGGAAGGAUCAUUACAGAGUUCAUGCCCGCGAGGGUAGACCUCCCACCCGUGUGUAUCGUUACUUUGUUGCUUUGGCGCGCCGCCCCCGGGCCUCGCGCGCGCGCCAGAGGCUCACCAAACUCUUUUUAUCAACGUCGUCUGAGCACUAUGUAAUAGUUAAAACUUUCAACAACGGAUCUCUUGGUUCUG